GACGAACGCUGGCGGCGUGCUUAACACAUGCAAGUCGAGCGGUAAGGCCCUUUCGGGGGUACACGAGCGGCGAACGGGUGAGUAACACGUGAGUAAUCUGCCCUUCACUCUGGGAUAGCCCUCCGAAAGGGGGAUUAAUACCGGAUACGACCAUGGUACGCAUGUGCUUGUGGUGGAAAGGUUUUCUGGUGGGGGAUGUGCUCGCGGCCUAUCAGCUUGUUGGUGGGGGUAAU
rnacentral:rRNA from 1 species